CUCAGGAAUAUUAUAUUUUAUUCUCUUUCCUGAUCUAAGAAUUGAUUUUUACUUUAGAUUCAUAAUGCCAAGAAGGAAUUUCCUAAGGAAAACAUUCAAGAAGAAUCUGGACACUAAUAUUUCCCAAGAUAUGAGACAAGCCCUUUAAGCUGAAGUUUAUAAAACAUGCAUCUAUAUUCAAUAUGGAAUCCUCAAAAUCAAGCUUAAUCCCUUUAAAGAAAUAUGAUGACACCAUCAAAGACAAAUUAUUGCCCAUUUUUGGAGGAAAAAAAAAUCACAAAUGAAAGAAAACUGUAACUUUGAGGUUGAAGGAUUCGCAGGCUGCUUACCCGUGCUCCUUCAGUUUCAGAAGAAAGAGCAUCAUUGGCUGAUUAUUUUCUCAGGAAAGACACACAGAGAAGUCCUGAAAGAGACCCACUUCCUACUCUCAAAGCAAAACAAGUCACACUGUGUGGAGGCAGAAAAAGUGGGAAACUAGCUUGUUGUGAUUGAGCUGAAAUGGAGAACCCACAAGAACGCUCAGGAAGAGAGAGGAGAGAGAAACAAGUGGAGUUGGUAGGGAACUCUGAGAGCUGGUCCGUGCCCAGGUCAGCAGGGAGGAAGUGGGUACAGGUAAAGGCACAAAUGCAAGGUGGCCCCAGAUCUGUGUGCUGGCCUGUUCUCAGCUGAGGAAGUUGCUAAAUUUGUUUAUCCCUUUCCUUAAACAAUAUGUGCAUGCAUACUAACCAGGCUUCCUGAAGGUCAGUGGAACACAGGACAUUUUUCUGUGUGGUCUUUGCAUUUAUUUAAAAAAUGAUAGCAGGGGACACGGGAGCCUUGAGUUCUGGGGAUGCAUAGAGCACACAGCACCUGACCAAUGGGGAGAGGAGACUGCCCACCUCUACAGGUUCUGCUGUGGUCUGAAAAGGACAUUCCCACACACACGUGAGCAUUCAAGUCCUGGGUCCUGUGGGGAAAGACUUCAGAACUGUUCUUGGACAGAAUUUAACUGGACAGAUUGAGUCAUAUCACAGCAAAAAUGUCCUUCCAGCUUCACUUAGACCGUUCCACAAUUCCCAGCCUUCUUGAAAAGAAUGACAUGGACACAUCAUUGUGAGAUAUCUUCUCUUUAUAAAUCUUUAGACACAUUGGGCUUUGGAAAAACAACAUUGGUAGCAACACGCGAUUCAGAUUGUUAACGUACGAUGUCUCUCAGUUACAGCUGUCUAAAUUUGAGGUAGUCUACUUGGUUUUCUACUCAAACAACCCCAUGUACUUGCUGAUAAAAUCUCCAUUUCUUGCAUUUUCAAAUUUAUGCUUUCACUCUGGAUUUUCGCUAAUUAACUCACUUAUGAGUAUAUAUUUUAAAAAUAAUUACUCAGACCCUAUUUUGUAUCAAAAUGUCCUAGGUACAUGAACACAAUAAAUACUAUGAUUGAAUUUUAUAGUACAUAUUAUGGGAUAUAUUGUGAUGGUAUGAUUCAUAAGAUUGUUUCCCAGUGAUGUUGUGGUGGUCUUAGUUUAAAUACACUCCUCUGUCUUCUAGCAAUGAUACUCUUACUUAACAAUGCACUUCUCAGAAAUGUAUAUCCCUUUCCUUAAACAAUAUGUGCAUGCAUACUAACCAGAACAUGGUAUGAUCUCCACAGAAAUUAGGAAUAUCUGUAAAAAGCACAUUAUCUGCAAUAAAAUAUGUAAGUGAAAUGGAACAGAAGGCUUGAAACUAAUCUGCAGGUUACCACACAGCAACUUUUAAAUGCGCUUCUUGAAAUAUAUAUUUCAACAACUCAUUAAACAAAUUUAGCAAAAGCAUCUGCCCAACUGUGGCAGAUCCGUUGCAUGUGGAAAGCAGGCUUGAGAUCUGUGACAUAAGGUGACAUAGCAACAGCCAGAGCUGCGUCGCACAUUUGCUGUGUUUGUACUGCGCUCCACGGCCAGUUCUGCAUUUCACACACAGGGUGUCAUUCUAUCCGCACGGCAAUCCCAAGAACAAGGCACAAGCCUAGGAUAGAAACGAGGCAAGGAGCGCUUUCAAAGGUGAACUGGCUGGCUUAAAAUCCUGAGCCGGAAAGUGUCAGCGCCCGGUGAAAAUUCAGUUCUCUCUGACCCCAGUUCUCACUUUUCUUGACACAGAGUAUAACCAAACUCUGACCUCACUCAUUUAAAAUAAAAGUCAAUGAAGAAGAAAUACCACGGAAACACCGCCAGUGUCUUUACACCAUAGUUUUUGUAAAUAAUAUGAUUUCCAUGUGUAUAUGCUUUGAUAUCUGAAAUGUAAUGCAUAUCCUUUAAUUUUUCUAUAAAUUAUUUAUCAUUAAUCUAGUGAACUAAAUUUUCACCAUCUUUCAGCAAUUUAUGCAUCAAAUUCUGAAUAUAAUUUUUUAGUUUUUAAGAAAUAACCAUUUAGUCAAAACAAAAUUUGUAAAACUCUGAAAUCUGGCUUGUGCAUUUAUAUACAAAUAAAAAUGCCUUCUUGUCAAAAUAAUAUAUACUUCAUGAUAAAAUUAGAAGAUAACAUAUUUUAAUCAUCCCAA
ensembl:lincRNA